rnacentral:rRNA from 1 species
CCUUUCCGGAGGGGGUACUUGCGGAAGGAUCAUUACUGAUUUGUUUAAUUGCACCACAUGUGUUUUUUAUUGAACAAAUUUCUUUGGUGGCGGGAGCAAUCCUACCGCCAGAGGUUAUAAUUAAACCAAACUUUUUAUUUCCAGUCAAACUUGAUUUAUUAUUCCAAUAGUCAAAACUUUCAACAACGGAUUUCUUGGUUCUGGCAUCGAUGAAGAACGCAGCGAAAUGCGAUACGUAAUAUGAAUUGCAGAUAUUCGUGAAUCAUGGAAUCUUUGAACGCCCAUUGCGCCCUUUGGUAUUCCAAAGGGCAUGCCUGUUUGAGCGUCAUUUCUCCCUCAAACCCCCGGGUUUGGUGUUGAGCAAUACGCUAGGUUUGUUUGAAAGAAUUUACGUGGAAACUUAUUUUAAGCGACUUAGGUUUAUCCAAAACGCUUAUUUUGCUAGUGGCCACCACAAUUUAUUUCAUAACUUGACCUCAAAUCAGUAGACAGCCAUU